GGGUACUCGCACGAAAGCACAAACCCUAAGGCGAAAUGAAAGUGAAGGUCAGCCACCACACUGACCGAGGCAGGAUACGUCCGGGUGAGCGAAGCUCUUCUUCCCUUCGCGGGUCCGUCCCGCGGGGGAGCUCGGCGUCGCACUGCCGGCCCAUCUCGGCCGCUUCCUGUCGGCGAGGUGGAGCCAGAGCGCACACGUUGGGACCCGAAAGAUGGUGAACUAUGCUCGGGCAGGACGAAGCCAGAGGAAACUCUGGUGGAGGUCCGUAGCGAUUCUGACGUGCAAAUCGAUCGUCGGACCCGAGUAUAGGGGCGAAAGACUAAUCGACCGUCUAGUA
rnacentral:rRNA from 1 species